GGUUCGAGUCCCUCCUAGCCCACCAAGUUAUGGUUGUAUGAAGCCAAUCGAAAGGCUGUGUGGACGCGGGUUCGAUUCCCGCCAUCUCCACCAAGAGCACUCUUAGCUACGGUAGAUCCUUGAUCCGAAUGUAGAAAGAGUGCUGUUGAUGGGGAUGCCAAGGUUUCGACAUGCAGAUGAAUAGAAAUGAGCAGACAACCGGAUAGGCGACUGACCUAAUCAGCGCAAAAGCACUAAAUGUCGCUGCAAACGACGACUCCUACACGGUCCGCAUCGCGGCUUAAGUAGAGUACAGGACGCCAGCUCUCCUGUUUACCAAAACUGGCGCGAAUUCAAACCUUAAAUAUGUCUGAGCCGGUUUAGCUCAGCUGGUAG
rnacentral:tmRNA from 1 species